GACUAAAAAAGAUCUGUUUUCUGUUGACAGUGGGCGCAUAUUAUUAUGGUCUUAGAGCGCUCAGUUAAACCAUCAGACCUAAAAAAGCUCCAGGAUGACUACUCGGUAGAUAUGGCCCGAGAGGGGAUUGAGGAGAGGCGUCGUGGCCUGAUGGUGAUUAAAAAGAGCAGCUUGCCGAGCAAAGCUGACAAAAGAAAAACCGCCAUCUUGAACUGGCAGAUUCUGGGAAUUGACUCUGUCAAAAAUAAACUUCAAGAGCAAGCAAAGCGUCAGCAGCAUCUCACAUCAGUGGCGACGUGAAUAACACCUGAAAAUCAAGUGAACACAUCGUGAACACCACGUGAACAACAAGGGGAUGUCACGUGAACGCACUGUAAUGAGGCCAACAAAAAAAAAACAGAUGAACAUGGACCAAUGAUAUUCAGUAGAAAUGAGCAAAAAACUCAAAAUGCAAAUGAUACUCAGUUUGCAGUUCAAAUGAACGAGGGACGUAUAGUUAGCGGGAUACCUCUUUAGGCAGAAUAAAUCACAGGAGUGUAAAAAUACAUUUCAUCCUAAACCGUUGCAAUUUCAAUUCAUUUACUAUAUUAUGUCUUACCUUUGUAGUAAGAAUACAAUAUCAAGCAAAUCAAUUAAUAGGACGUUUUCUAUGAAAGUAAGUCAAUUUUAUGAAAUUUAAGAAUGUAAUUUAUUGGAGGAUAGUAUCCUCAAUUUGUAGGAAUAUAAGUACUGGAGAUCAGUUUACCUGGAUAAGCAAACUGAUUAGAAGAAAUAUCACUUUUGUAAACAAGAGAUAACACAAUCAAAUAUUUCCUUAAUUCAGAAUUUGUACACUUGUAAUUGUUAUGGCAUUUGUAAGUUUUGUAAGGUCUUUGGUCGCAUUAGUAGGAACCAGUUGAACCGGUCAUGACCGGUUAUAGACCCAGCAGACUGUACAUAAACGUUAGUUUCCUUA